CUGGAGGAAUGAUUAACUAAUAAGACGCAAUUAAUUGAACUCUGUGAAUUUAUCCGCUUCGAUGGAUUGUCACUUUUGGACCGUAAUGGCAGUUUAUGUGUCAAGAACAGCGCUGCGAUAAGGAGAGGAGCACAUGGACGAGGAGGUGGACGGCAGUGGGAAGGAAGAACAGAAUGCUGAUGACCCUGCUCUUCCUUGUGCCAGCCUUGUGGCACAGAACCAGCCUCAGCACCACCAUGAGCUCUACACACAAGACCAGGACCUUCCCAUCAUGCACUGGGAGGAUUUGAGUUUGCGAAUAGCCGAGCUUGAGAAACAGGAGGAAGAGAGGAGGAAAAGAGCUGAGUCCAUGGGUUUAACAGACCAAGAACCAGUGCCAGGACCCUGGCCUCAUGUAAAGCACCAGUCACUUAACAGAAAGCAGUGGGAAGAUGCAGGUGAUCUUGGAGGACAUCGUUUUCCAUGCAUUACAUCUCGGUUUAACACUCCUAAAAACCUGCAGCUGUGUUUUAUCAACGAUAGUGAGAGCGAUCAAGAGGGUGAUGAAGGGGCAUCCUUCAGAGAGAGGCCACAUGAUUCACAGGGACAGGGGCGACAAUCUGCCGGCCUGAAACAGGAAGUCAGAGCAGCUCUGAAUGAGCUCCGAGAUAAGCUUUGGGCUGAGCAGGGGCAGCAACAGCCGAGCCACAAGGACGUGAGCUUUAGGAGAAGAAAGCUUAGCCACAGUGACCUGCAAACCUGCUCUGUGCUUCAGCUAAAUGCUCUCAGGACUUCCCUCCAUGAAGACAUUCAGGAUCUGAGCUCAGAAUUAGUGAAGCAUCUGGUGGUGAGGGACAAUCUACGGACAAAGCAAGAUGCCAUGCUCCUGGAUGUACAGGAUAUGACAUCACUGUGACGCACAUCAAUCUAUAAUUAGCCUUUAUUAUAAAAUAGUCUGCCAUAUGAUAGGCCUUUUUGGAAUGAUGGACCUAUAUUACACCAGCAAUUUAUUGUCUAAUAUGUUUUUGUUUUCUACUUUACACUAACAAAGCCAUAUGAUCCUGUUUGUCUUGAUUCGCUUUUUUGUGCUCACACAAAUAUUGCUUACUAUGUGAAUGUAAUUAUUUUAGUCACAAGUUUUAUUGUGAGAAACUGUGCAUGUGUGAAAGAGUAGCUAAACAAGCAUGCUCUUCAUGUUUUCAACAUUUGUUUUACAUUACCAUCUGUAAAAACUGUGAAAGCUGCUAUUAAAUGUACGUGUGAUCAGUAACUGCUUCAUGGGAGUAAGAACUGCAUGUAAUAUAAUAUAGCAUCUGCUGAAUAUGGGGCUUCAUGUUGUAAAAACACUAACACAACCUUUAAGUAUUUUUCUUAAAAUUUGACAAUUAAUAUAACUGAAUAAAUUUGUAACGUUUACUUAACUCCUAAAUGCUUGGGUGUUUUGCCAGCCUUUGUCAUUUUUGAGAUACUAUACUAUCAGUGCUUUCAAAUGCAUUGAGCUACAUGUAACAAUAUUCACUGUUAACUACAUCCAUGGUUAUUUUGCCGAUUACAUAUCUAAGCGAAAUCACUUUUUUUCAGUUCAUUUAUUCUAAGUGGUCAUUUUGUUAACUGAAAAACAAAACAAAGAACGAAUGAGGAGGGAGUAGGUUAGAGGUCGCAAGCAACCAAUUGUAUGCAUUUAGGGUUAAUAUUUAAAGCAUAUGGCAUAUUCUUAUUUCUUCUGUUUCAAUAUCUGUUUCCAAAGGUCCAUCCAUCCAUUCAUCCAUCCAUAUUCUGUACCGCUUAUUCUACACAAGGUUGUGGGUGAGCCUGGAACCUAUCCCAGGGAACUCGGGGCACAAGGCAGGGGACACCCUGGAGGGGUGCCAUCCCAUCACAGGACACAAUCGCACACACAGACACACUACGGCCAAUUUGGAAAUGCAAAUCAGCCUACAACACAUGUCUUUGAACUGUGGGAGGAAGCUGGAGUACCCAGAGGAAACCUCCGAAGUACGGGGAGAACAUGUGGAGUGGAGGUGUCUGACUGAAGCUUUGCACUUGAAAAGUCAAGGAGAAACAUGCUCUAACUUACAAGCUCCUGAAGAUCCACUUGCUACCUCAUAGCAUGUCUACUGGAGUGAAUGUCAGUGUCUAAUAAACAUGAUCUCUCAGCCUUGCACCGCUUAGCUGCUCAGCCAAGCAAAGUAAAACAUGGUCUGAGAGAGUGAGAGCAAGAGAAAGAUCAGAAUAACAAGCAGCACAUAUGGACAGGAAACUGUUACUGUCUACAGCAAAAAACAAAAACAAUAAUAAAAAAAAAGGGAUUAUAACGUAUAUGUUGUAUUUAUGAUGAGUUUAAUGGAUAGACAGAUGGACAGUUUUCUGUGCAACUAAUCUGUUCUGAAUUCUUAUACUACACAGACAUUUUUGUUUAGACAACUUUGUAAACAAACCAAAAUAUUCCUUGCUUCUCUUGCAAUUUCUAAAGGGCAACACUGUAUUAUGUUUCCUUUCAGCAUUUCUGUCUGAAUGAAUAGAUAUUAAUUAUUUACCAAAGUGUACCUGUGAGACCACAUGCAGUUGCAGCGUAAGAACAGUGUCCAUGUCACAAACACUCGAUAUUUAGACAUUGGCGUCUGUCCUCGGCGGAACUGUGGCAUUUAAGUGUAGCUACAAAAACAGAUUGAAUGAAUUGCUCAUUUUCCAGAUAUGUAAGUAUUUCCUGUUCAGUUUUCUAUGGCAGAUUAGGUCAGCAAUUGAAGAUCAUUCAGUUCUCAGGGUUUUUUUUUAAUGCAAGUAAUAAGAACCUAGAAGUAUGAAUGGAGAGUUUGAAGUAAAAGCCUGUUACUGAUUGAAAGGUUAAUAGACCGAGUACGGCUGAAUCAGCACAAUAAUUUGGUCAACAUGAAUUUCCUUUAGAGGUACAUGACAGUCAGGACAAAUGCUUAACACGUAAUAUGAUGAGUACUAUAGAUGAAAUCUUGAAACUGAAGACUAAAGCGUGUCAUUUAAAAUGUUAAUUACUUAAAUACCAUGUUUGUUUAUUUUAAAG
ensembl:lncRNA